UCUGCUGGUAUGCUGGGAACACAUUGCCUUUUUAUGUAUAACCUUCCCAGUUAUGGCAAGUGACAAAAAGAUUGCUUCAAAAGCCUUUGUUGGCUCGGAUUAUUUUUGCAGUGCUCAUGCUUCUCCGUUCUCAUAAAAAAAAUCAGUUCCAAAUCCUGCUCUAGAAACUAAAUAACAUAAUACCUUCUCGACCAUAUCAUCCUUGUACUCCACGAUAUAUGGAUGUCUUAACUUAGCUAUCAGAUCCAUC
rnacentral:lncRNA from 1 species